ensembl:lncRNA
GUGCCUGUUGAUUAUAUAUGUAUAGCCUUUAAGCUUUAAUGAAUGAUUUACUCAUAUUUUUAUUUCAGCUGGAUAUUUUAUGAAGUAUAUAUGUAUGCAUGUAUAAAUAUAUAUAUAUAAAUUUAUUUUUUUUAUAAACGUAGAAAACCUUUAAUCAUCUGGGACAGAAAAAUCUGUCUGAAACCAUCUAUAGGUUGGCAUCUGAAUUUAGAGAAAAAUGCCACAAAUCUUUAAGCUUAUUUUUCUAACAUGAAUAUACUUCUGUAUCAAAUGGAAAAUCUUCAUAAAUUAAAGCAAACUAUCAUGGUUGUCUUCUGUGUUAGAAUUAAAAAAAAAAACAAAAAAAACCAAAAAUGUGUUGUUCUAUAUGAAAAAGUUUUGAAGUAAAAGUACCUCAAAGACUUGUGAGUCUGCAGUGCCAACAAUAUCAUGCAUAUUACAUUUCCUAAGGUUUCAUAACACUCUGAGAUUUAAGGUUGGUUGCUUGUGAGAACAGUGAAUAAAAAGUACUUGAGCAUAUUGUUCAAAAACCCCACUGCAGGCAGCAAGACAAUACAAGCAGUAUAUACAACUUCUUUUAUAAAUCACCCUGAUGUGAGAACAAGUAGUCAAGAAGUUGGGAAGGAGACCUUUUAGCCACAAGGGAUUUCACCUGCAGUGAAUUUAUCAAAGGCCAUGAAAAUUAGGAAUUGCCAUCAAAUCCUAUGUAAAGAGCAAGUCAAGACUGAAUGCAUUAAAAUAUAGCCACACUGCAAGGAGAAAGAUUCUCCAGAAACAGAGAGCAAAUUUUGGGCAACAGCGAAUUUCCUUCCACAGCCAGACUCAGAGCACACCCAGCCCGUGGGUAAAUCUGCCACUAUGACUUUGUUUUUUGACAAGGUUGUUUGUUUUUCAGUCUCAGUGUGGGCCUGCUCAAGCAAGAGCAGUGCUCUGCCAGGACCAGUCUCUUUUGUGUCAGUCUGCUAAUGACACUAGGCUUGAGAGGUUGUGUUUGAUUUUGCUGAAAGCCAUUCACUGGAACUUCCCUUAAAUAUGUAGCAGUUUCAGGAUCUUGCCUUUCCACCACAAAAUUUAAAUCCUGCCAAUAUAUCUCCUAUUAAGUUUUCAAGAAAUGGGUAUGCAAUCAUCACAGCAGCUUUCCAGUGUUUGGUUUUGGUCCUGUGACCACAGCAAACAUUUUGGAAUUCACUUGUGUUUUCUUUUGCUUUGAUAUUAAAAUCUUUUGCAGGAUCUCUUAAAUAUUUUUAUAGCUAUUAUAGCUAUCAUACAAUAUGAUAUUCACUAAAUCUUUGAAUUCUUAAAAUAGAGUUUUUGUUAAAGUGUAGGAUGAACUGAAUUGUAUGCAUCUGAAAAGUCACCACUGCUUGAUGCCACUGACUAGGAUGUAGUCAUCAUAUGAUUAGCGCUAAGAGGAGCUUAAUUUGAGCAUAGGUUUCUCUGUGUAGUCUUGCAAUGUCACACAGAAGCUUACUUGGGAUUUCUGUCAAUUCUUGUCUUUGUUGGACAGCUCUGUUCCACUGAAUGAAUUAAAUGUCGCCAUUUUUUUCUCAGAAAUCUGCAGUAUAACGUUAAAAGCUAGGCCUGGAAUGUUGCAAAAAAUAACUUAAAGAGAACACAGUGAAAUAAAGAUGUAAAUUGUAGUUUGUAAUAAGUUUUGUACUAUUCUGCAGGAAUGAGUGAAGCAAUAAGAGUAUUGUUAACAGAAAAAAGCUUUUUAUUUUAUAAUAUCAUGAACGCUUUCCAUAGUUCAAGCUCUCAUCUCAGUGAAAUAAAUGGUACUUCUAAAUAUAUAUAUAUAUAUUUUUUUUUUUUUAAUAUACCUCUUCGUAUAGUGUAUGAGAUUUUAUUGCUCCUGGUUUGGAUAUAUCAUUAACAGUAUCAUCAGUGUCAUUAAUAUUAUUAUAUUUAUAUUUUAAGGAAUAGUUUACAUAGUCUUAGGUCUCAUCCUCUCUAAGGUUUUUUUCUGAUUCUGCUUCAUAUACAGUCUUCAUUUUCAGUAGGGCCCACAAGUUUGAUUUAUAUCUCAUUUACAUCAGUAGGGCUUGAUUUGCGUAGAGAAUCCUAGUUAAAAUUGUAAAACUGGGUCACACUACAAGUUUGUCUGACCCUCUUUUUAUAACUGUCACUAGUACAGGAGCCAAGCUGGCACAGUAAUAUGGAAGUAUUAUGGCAGACCACACAUACUAACAUGUUUAUUUAUGGAUUACAGCAACAUGGGCCCUAAAAAUCUCUAGAGUCAAAGACUAGAACAGGCUUUAUGGACUUAAUUCCAUGAACUUGACUAAUUCUACUUUGCCUCACUUAUAUCUUCAUUGAAACACAAAUCCCCUGGCUUACCUAAUCACUUUGUGUCUAAUAUUACAAAGGAAUACAGAUUAAAUUGCAUGUCUUUCCAAGAAAAAUAGAGAUGAUACCUGAGCUCUGAGAUAACACUGAGGCUUAAGCUAAUGGUUUGUCUGAAAGAUGUCUUUGAUGGAAAGAGUGAGCUGCUUAAGUAACCAGAAGUAAACAGGAAAACAGUGUUAUAAAUCAAAUGUUCUUGACAAAGAGAUGUUCUCUUUAGAAGUACUAAAGUGAAUGUCUUCAGAAGCAUGAAGAGUUAUGGUGGAAUACUAUCUCAUAAGUAAAGUAUAAGAAUGUUAUAAGAAUGUUUUGCAGGAAUAAAGUUAGUAUUUGGAGGUAUGAUAAGCUAGGGUUAUGAACAGGAUGGCACUACUAAAAAGGGGAAUGCCAUAGAAAGCACAAGCUGGACACAUAAAAUAAUCCUUUCCUUUUAAUUGGUAUUAUUAUUAUUAUAAAAUAAUCCUUUUCUAUUAAUUGGUACUAUGUGAGUUUGGUACCACAGUCAAGAAGGGUUGAAUCCUUGGGAUUCAAAGGGAUGAAUCCUUGGGACAAUCUAGAGGAGAGAAACAACUAUCCAAGAUUUAGAAAGCAUGUUCUACAAACAGAAAAGAAAAAGGAAGAAUUUACUCUUUGCUGAUUGGAGGAAAGCAAUUCACAAAAAUCACAGCAAAGGAGAGUCAGAUUGGGUAUUAUGAACAAUAUUCCUAAAGUAGAACAUAUCACUGGGAAAGAUACCAGCUUUUCUGUGAAUGAAAGUUUUCAGGAGCACACUAGGCACACAUAUCUCAGGACUAAUACAGUUUUAGCUGAUUCUGUUAUGGGAAGAGAAUUUGGGUGGAAGAAUUUUCUGACUUUUUGAUAUUCCUAUGACACACUGAUGUUACAAGGUUCAUUGAACCUACAGUAUCUUGACAAAUCUUUCUCUGUUAUAAAACCAUUAAACCAAAAUUUCUGUUUGAUUGGUUACUACAGAAGUGUUAAGGGACAAUCCAAGAACCCACAUGCUGGGCAAAUAUGCAGUGCUCUUUCACAACCGCACCAAAUAGUUUGCAACUUAAGUGGAUAGCACAAAUGUGGGAGACCGGAGAGCUGUAAAACAUACUAGGAAACACAGAUAAUUUGAAAACAUCCAUGUCUUAAAAGCAGCUGUGUCCAUUUUGAGCACCUGCAAAACAUGAUCAUCACAAUUCUCAGUGUCUUAGAAUUGGCAUCUGUAUGAUACUGAACAGCUGCAAAGGGAAGAGAAAUUAUUUUGUACAGAUGUCUAUUGCUUGAGACCAACUUACUUGUUCUGCAUUCACAUAGCAUCUUGGCUGGUGUUUCUCAUCAUUAUCACAAUAGAAAUCACACAUAAAAUGCAGCACUUUUUGGAAGUGAAUAGCAAUAAAUCAUAAAACAAGUACUUUACCAAGUAAGUCAAAUCACAAGAUUUAGAUUUUUGAGGCUUGUCUGAGCAACCAUCCAUUAACCUCAGGUGGGUGUCUAAAGGUUGUGCAGAAAAGAAAUUGUAGGAAAAAGUCUUUUUGUAAGAUUUCAAGUAAAGUCUUGCUUUACAAUAGCCUUGAAAGAACAAUUCAGUUUUUCUCCACUUUUCAUGGCUUUAUACAAGUCCUUAUUUUUAAAUCAUUCAUCAUUUUCUUGCCUAGUAUAACAAAGAGAAUUGAUUCUUUCAAAAAGGCACAAAUAAUCAUACAAUGUCAGAAAAAAUAUCAGCUAAGCAAAUGGCUGUAAUCUAUCUAAGCAUUCUGCAUUUUUUAAAAUGAGGACCAGGUUCUCAAGUAAUAUAACUUGACAUGGAUGUCAUUUGUAAAAAUGUCAUUUUUAAAACCCAUACCAAACUACACCCACUUAGAAGCUUUCCUUAUGCUUUCCAAAUUCCUAAGAAAGGGGGAAGGGCUUACAUUAGUUCUGAGACUAACUGAUGUGAAAGUUUGGAAAGAAUUAAGGAUGUGGUAUGGUUGGGUUUUUGUAUAGUCAUCAAUAAGAAAUAGGUGAUCAAUUGCCUGGUUGUCAUUUUCUUGCUGUCGGCAAUGCUGUGGCUCACAAAACAUGGCAUGUGACACCUGUCAUGUUGAUCUGCUGAGGCAGUUACAUGAGAAGGAACAAGAAACUAUUAGUAUAGUACAUAUUUGACUUUGGAAAUUUACAGCUGAAAUAUGUGGGUCAUAGCUCACAGUCACUUGAUUUCAUAAUGUUUUACAUAUCCCCAAGAUGUUUGGAAGUCUUAUACAUUCUUCAAAUCAGUAGUUUUAAUGUAUUUGACAGUCUGAAAUCUGCUGUGGAUGGGACAACGUUUAACAUGUGAAAAUACAUAUUCAUUAUACAAAAAUCUAAAGUAUUAUAAUUUUGGUUUAUUCAUGUCUGUGAGAAUAUGGCAGGUGAAAGAUGGCUAGAGGAGGUUAAAUGAUGUUCUUGUAGAUUUGCUAUGAUGUGUAAGAUAAAAGAGACCCAUUAAAUUAUAUAUCUUAUUUAUGGAGAAGGAGAAGUAGCCCCUAUGGAUUGUCAAAUACCAUAUGAAAUAUUGCCAAGCAUAGUAAUGUGUUCUUGCUAAUAGUUCCAUUGUUUGCCUGGGACCAAGGAGUAAAAUAGAUAUUCAAAAGAUAUUUAAUUUGUCCAUAUAUUUUAAGCCAUUAUAUGUGAGUCUUUUGUUGUUGUUUUCUUUCUGUUUUGAUUUUUUUUUUUUAGUUAAAAUAGUUCAUCUUAAUUGCAUUUACCUAGGAUUCAAAUAAUUUUAAAGAUAACAAUAUAUAGAAAAUAAAUUCUUGUCAGACUGCUAGUUUGGAGCCAACACAUUAAAAUAACCUUUGGAUCAUGAAUUAUAUUUAAAAAGCUGUUAAGAUUCGGUAUUUUUUAUUCCUUUAAUGAAAUAUUUAAAACACAGUUAAACUCUCUGUUCUGUUGGAAAACACAGGAUAAAAGCACAGUGCAGCACAACUGGCAUUAUCAGAUGGUCUUUAGUUUGAAGAGAACAAUUGUUUGCCCAGCCACAGAAUAUGCCCCACUUGUCUUUCCUAAAGACAAUGUUACAAUAUCAGGAAAAAAAAUCCCAAACCAAAACAACCAAAGGCAAAACAACCAAAAGCACUGGGGCAUUAUAAAGCAAUCUUGGUUUUGUCAUAAGUGUCCACAAAAGGAGACAUUCAUUUCCAAAACUAUUCUCCAAAUACACUUAAUUAGAAAGAAAAACUCAGGAUAACAGGGAUAAUCAGAAAAAAAAAAUUGUUCACAAGAAAAAGAAUAAAUCAUAACUGCUCAAUGAAGAAAAAUCUCAACCUUUUGUAUUUACUGACCAAACGCUUGCUCCAAUUUGUUUGUAAUUCUGCUGAAGAGUAGUGUUGAACAAUAAAGACUAUGUAUUGCAAAAUAUUGGACUUGCUGGCAUUAAAUAUUUGCUUGUUGUGGGCUUAUUGCUUUCCAAGUGCAUAAUUUUUAAUUCCUCUGCUUCCUACUAAGAUGCCAAAAUCUUUCUGCCAAAUCAAUCUACCAACUCACUUCUCACUUGGAAACACGGGUCAGGAAUGUGAGAGGUAGAUAGACAAUUCUACUGAAUCACCAUAAAUGCUAAGUAUGCUAAAGUUAAGUUCAAACCUGUAAGGUUCACCUUAGAGUUUAUCUGGUCCCGAACAUCUUCUUAAUUAAUGCACACUGACAUUUUGGCAUGACAAGGUCAUACUGGCCUUCACAUUUAUUCUUCUAUGGGCAUAUUGUUACUGUAAACUUACAGUGCUAGAAAAGUGUUAGAUAUAUUUCUAAGUACCUACCUCAAUGUACAAUGAGAUAAAGGACCAGAAAAAGGACAUAGGUUCUGAUUCUAGAUUUAAAAGUUAGUUAAUCCAAGUUUCUGAAAUCAGAAGUACAGAUCUUCAUCCUUAGGGCACUUUGGUUUUCCCCUUUUGCAGGUGAUGGUACUUUGUCUAUAGUGAAAACUGCAGUUUCAAAUGCCUGGUAUGUGUUCAGCUUUGUCAUUCCCACCAGUACAAACAACAGCUGUUAAGGCUGGGUGGCCAAGGUUACACCACAGGAUAAUUUUUCAAUGAUGACUGAAUAAAAUUCAGAUAUUUAUUUUUAAAAAUAAAUAUAUUGAUAGGACAUGUUCUAAAAACCAUAAGUUUCCUUUUCUUCCCUCUCAAAAACUACUGCUGAAACUUUGUGUCUCUGAUAGGCAUACAAGUCUAAAACUGUACAGCUAUUUUGACAACUAACCUAACAUUUAGUUUUAUAAAAUAUUUUAAAAACAUUUCCUGUAGGCACACGGUGGUAAUUAGGAGCGGGGCUGGGGCUGAGCCCCAUCCCCAGUGGGCACAGCUGUGAGCAGCAGGUGAGCAGCACUGACAGCAACGAGCCAUGGAGUGCCCAGGUACUGCCAAACCACCAAAGGAAACAGAGGGCACAGAGGGGCACUGCAUGAAUAUAAGACUAUAAAUGGCUGGCCUAAAGAACAAGAAGGGCAGAUGCUCACAGGCUUCUGAUUGAUGUGAUGUUGCUCUGUAUGGGCAGAUGCCUGAAGCCCUCUGAUGAGGUCUGGUGUUACUCUGCAUGGGUUGAAGCUUUCUGAAAUUGUGUGUUGGCACUCUUGACUCUGGCAUGUGCUGUGGCAAAUGCUGCAACAAUUUCUAUAGUGGGGGAAUUUUUAUUACUUAUAGAAGGUAUACUUAUAAUCUCUUUCUCUCUGUUUGAACCUGUGUGUACUUAAUUAUAAAAUUAUGAUUCCUCAAGUGCGCCCUUGCUUUAGACUGUGCUCCUGUGGUAUGAUUUAGCCUUAAAUUCAGUGUCAGGUGUUAUGAUGAGUUCUUCAGUGCCUUUACAUGAUAGCCUUUCUCUCCUUUUCUGCCCUCACUCUCCUCCUUAGAUUUGUAUUUAACUUCUGCUAUUUUGCUUUGUGUGUGGAAUGUGUACAACCUCUGUGUUUUGGAUUCAGCUUUCAGUUGGAGAUAUUUUUAAUUUCUCUACUGUUCCUUGUCAUGUCUAAAACCUUUACCUUUGAUUACUCUGUGACUUUUCUUUUUUGUAAGAUGCUAGACAGUUCCCAUGGGUCUUUAAUCCCACUUUCUUGCUGCUCUGGAGCAUAGUGGGGGUUUUUACAUCCUCUUUAAGUGAAUGAUUUGCACAAGGGAGGGCAUACAUAGGUAAGUAACUAAAUUCAUAUUGCUGAUCAAGCUGUUCCCCAGUAGAGGGAAAAAAGGAUAAAAGUGAAGAAAAGAAAGGGGGAAAUGUGCUAAGAAUUCCAGUUGGUCUGCAUCACUUUCCUGUAUUUCUUGUUUUUUCUUUACCCUCUAUAAAUCCCUUUUUUCCCUUUUUUUGGAUUCACAAUCCCCCCUCCUCCACCCCCAAAAGCAACAAACCACCUGAGCCAAAAAAUCCCACAAAUCCUAAUACUUCCAACUGUUAUUUAUAUAAAAUCCUUAUCUUUCUUUGUGGAAGUCAGCUUAAAUUGUGAAAAAUCCUUCCUUGAGCCUCACCAAAAGAAAUAACAAAGUUGCUUUGUUUACCUGCACAGUUCCUGCAUUAAAAAAUGUAGUAUUUUCUUCUCCAUCUGCAAUUUUGUAUGCCCAUAUCAAAUGGUGCCACAGUGAAUAGAAUAGCAGAAUUGCCUUUACUUUUGCACCAUCCUGAAACUGCUUUAUACAAGGCCCACAAAAAUAAUUGUAGUAUUAGAAGCCUCAUACAAAUAAUUUUGAUUAUUGUCAGAUGCACUGCUUGCACUAGAGUCACUUCUUGUUUUUCUAAUCUAACUGUAAGCGAAGUAAACACAAUGGUAAAUACAACUGUUGAAACCUUCCAAGCAGAAAUGCUCAGCAAAAAUUUCAGCUGAAACUUUGAAAUAAUUUUGCUGUUCAUGAAAUUGAUUAUUCCCAAAGAAGCAUUAGUUUACUUUAAAAAGAAAAGAUCCAAAAGGCUAAUUUUCACCCACCUGUUUUAAGGCUAUAUGUUAAAGCCUUAAGAUAAUAUUUCUGUGUUUUCCACUACUUGAAUUUUCAUUGCAUGUAUGGCAUCUGCUGGCAACUUGGACCGAAGCUCCAAGACACUAGGGAAGAAUCAAACCUUCUGUAGUGUUUGCAUCCCAGCUCCCAAU